rnacentral:miRNA from 1 species
ACCUCAAAAAAACCACAACAGUCUGUUUCAUCCGUAUAGGAAUCAUCAGGUGGUCGGAUGAUUCCUAUUCGGAUGAAACAGACUGUUGUGGGUUUU